rnacentral:rRNA from 1 species
GUGCAGCAGUCGAGAAAUCUUUACAAUGUGCGAAAGCACGAUAAGGGAACUCUGAGUGCCUCCUAAGGAGGCUGUUCAGGUGUCUAAAAAGCACCUGAAGGAAGGGCUGGGUAAGACCGGUGCCAGCCGCCGCAGUAACACCGGCAGCCCAAGUGGUAGCCACGUUUAUUGGGUCUAAAGCGUCCGUAGCCGGCUGGGUAAGUCCUCCGUUAAAUCCAACGAUUCAAUCGUUGGGCUGCGGGGGAUACUGUCCAGCUUGGGGGCGGGAGAGGCCGACGGUAUUCCCGGGGUAGGGGUGAAAUCCUAUAAUCCCGGGAGGACCACCAGUGGCGAAGGCUGUCGGCUAGAACGCGCCCGACGGUGAGGGAUGAAAGCU